UACGUAGGGUGCGAGCGUUAAUCGGAAUUACUGGGCGUAAAGCGUGCGCAGGCGGCGCGUUAAGACAGGGUGUCGAAAGCCCCCGAGCUUAACUUGGGAAUUGCGCUUGUGACUGGCGGGCUGGAGUGUGGCAGAGGGAGGUGGAAUUCCACGUGUAGCAGUGAAAUGCGUAGAGAUGUGGAGGAACACCGAUGGCGAAAGGCAGCCUCCGUGGGCCAGCACUGACGCUCAUGCACGAAAGCGUGGGGAGCAAACAGG
rnacentral:rRNA from 1 species